AUGUGCCUUCCAUACCUCUGGUUGAUUUGCUUCAUAGCAAGGAUUAGUUUUAUUUCCAUUUUUAUCUUAUCUGGUAUGACACUCUCGGGGCGAAAGAUUGGUAUGUGCAGAUGUGUAAGUGCGAGUGAUUUGACUUGGGUUUCCAAUUGGCUAUCCCUAAAAUUGUUUGAGUUAGCUUAUAUACGUUCUAACAAUGCUGUCUUUUUUUCCGGGCUUCUUGCAUGCUACACUGGUCCAACAAGUAGUGUAUUGAUUCCAUAUCAUCAUAGCUUCCCAAUUCCAACAUUGACUUCAGCAUAUCAGGAAAGGUGUGAUCUUUUGCAAAUGCAAUUGAGGGGACUUCUGAAUGUUACUAAAAAGAGAAAGAUGAUUAUCGAUAUAUGCACUCAACCAUGGAAUGAUUCAUGUUGUCCAGCAGUCAAUACUAGACCUAUAUUAUCCAAGAUGUUAGUACUUGGAUGUGUUUUUUGUCUUUCAUGGAAGUCUUGCCCAUCAUAA
rnacentral:rRNA from 1 species